GACGAACGCUGGCGGCGUGCUUAACACAUGCAAGUCGAGCGGUAAGGCCCUUUCGGGGGUACGACGAGCGGCGAACGGGUGAGUAACACGUGGGUGACCUGCCCUCAGCUCUGGGAUAAGCCCGGGAAACUGGGUCUAAUACCGGAUAUGACUCCAUGACGCAUGUUGUGGGGUGGAAAGCCCUGUGCGGCUGAGGAUGGGCCCGCGGCCUAUCAGCUUGUUGGUGGGGUGAUGGCCACCAAGGCGACGACGGGUAGCCGGCCUGAGAGGGCGACCGGCCACACUGGGACUGAGAUACGGCCCAGACUCCUACGGGAGGCAGCAGUGGGGAAUCUUGCGCAAUGGGCGAAAGCCUGACGCAGCGACGCCGCGUGAGGGAUGACGGCCUCGUGUA
rnacentral:rRNA from 1 species